GCAUCCAGUAAACACAUUUCAUCUAGUACACAGGAGGCCGCAGCAGACUUUUCAAAAAGGUAAUCCAUUAAAAAAUACACACUCCUACACUCUGUUGUGGCAUCCUGUGUAUAUACACCUAAUACCUUGAAUAUUGAGCAACUAUUACUGCUAUUACCGCUCUGAAAAGCAAAAGCAGAUCAGAUCCCAGGGAAGGACACCAAAAUAGGG